UACACGUGAUGUGAAUCAUCGAAUCUUUGAACGCACCUUGCACCGGGGGGCGCGAGCCAGCCGGUAUACUUGUUUGAGCAUCGCACCACAACGGCGCGUCCUGUAGCGAUACGGGACACGGCGAGCUGAGCCGACGGUGCGCACACAUGACGCCGUGGCUUGAAAGACAGAUGUGGGCCACUGGCGCCACCAUGGGAUAUAUGCGUGCAUACGAAACAUGGGAGUGAAAGUGCACACACCAGCAUAAACGCACUCACUUGUAAGAGUGGAGCGUGAACUCCAGAAUAAACGAUCUCAAGUCAAGUAGGAAGACCCGCUGAACUUAAGCAUAUCAAUAAGCGGAGG
rnacentral:rRNA from 1 species